rnacentral:rRNA from 1 species
UACGUAUGGGGCGAGCGUUGUUCGGAAUUAUUGGGUGUAAAGGGCGUCUAGGCGGGAGAUUAAGUUAGAUGUGAAAGGCGUGGGCUUAACCCACGAAUUGCAUCUAAAACUGGUUUUCUUGAGUUCGGGAGAGGAGAGCGGAAUUCUUGGUGUAGCGGUGAAAUGCGUAGAUAUCAAGAAGAACACCAGUGGCGAAGGCGGCUCUCUGGCCUAGAACUGACGCUGAAGCGCGAAAGCGUGGGUAGCGAACGGGAUUAGAUACCCCUGUAGUCCCUGA